GAGGAACAGCCUCUGCUUCUACAAGAUCUUUUGGAUCAAGAGAGGCAGGAGCAGCAGCAGCAAAGACAAAUGCAAGCUAUGAUUCGUCAGCGGUCAGAACCAUUCUUCCCUAACAUUGGUAGGAAAUUCCUUCUGUCUCAAAACAACUUACUGGGGCAUUUGAGUACAUGCAGCAUGCUUGUAAAUACUCAUUGUUGAGAUUACAUAUGGAAUCAGUGUAAUCUGAGAAUUUUCUAUCUUCUCGGGUCUUUAAACUGAAGACAGAAAUUUUAGAUUUCUUCCAGGUCAGUAAAAAUGAAGAUAACCUUGAAUUGUUACCUCAUUCAGUCCGGCUUGUGUUAAUGUGGUUUUAGUUUUAUCUGCCAAUUGUCAUGAGAAGAUAAAUGUAAGGAAAUUAUGAUAGAAAUAAAACUCCUUGUUCUUUUGUGUACAA
rnacentral:lncRNA from 1 species